rnacentral:lncRNA from 1 species
CACCUGUCCAAUAAAAUAAAGAUUAAACAAUAAUUUUUAGUAUUUUUUUAAUACUUAUUUCAUUUAAGAUUAAAAAUUAUGGAUCGGAGAAAUUUUGUUGAUACUUAUGUCAUAUCAAUCUAGAUUCUAGUGCCGGGCCUCAAAAGUCGCGAAAGGUAUACGUAGAAGGUGGGGAUUAACCACUCCUAAUCUUAAAAAAUGAUAUUUUUAUCGUAUGGCUCAUACACAUCAUCUCUUAGAUA